GGGCCCGCACAAGCGGUGGAGCAUGUGGUUUAAUUCGAUGAUACGCGAGGAACCUUACCAGGGCUUAAAUGUAAGUUGCAUAGAUCAGAGAUGGUCUUUUCUUCGGACUACUUACAAGGUGCUGCAUGGUUGUCGUCAGCUCGUGCCGUGAGGUGUCAGGUUAAGUCCUAUAACGAGCGCAACCCCUGUCGUUAGUUACCAGCAAGUAAUGUUGGGUACUCUAGCGAGACUGCCGGUGCAAACCGUGAGGAAGGUGGGGAUGACGUCAAAUCAUCACGGCCCUUACGUCCUGGGCUACACACGUGCUACAAUGGCCGGUACAGAGAGCAGCCACUACGCGAGUAGGAGCGAAUCUUCAAAGCCGGUCUCAGUUCGGAUCGCAGUCUGCAACUCGACUGCGUGAAGCUGGAAUCGCUAGUAAUCGGAUAU
rnacentral:rRNA from 1 species